UUUUGUACUAGUGUAUUUUUUUUAAUGCAUAUUUCUUUCUUUAGAAACAAAAUUCAAUUAUUAAAUUAAAUAUUUAAUCAUUUUAAUAAUAACGAUAAUAAUUGAUCUUUUAUUUAAUCUAUAUUUUCAAAAAAUAAUAAUAAUAUUUUUAAUAAAUUUGCUAUGUUAAUAAGAUUAAAAAAAGUAAAUGGAUAGUAAAAUUAUUAAAAAU
rnacentral:lncRNA from 1 species